rnacentral:misc_RNA from 1 species
AAGAAGAAGAAGAAGAAGAAGAAGAAGAAGAAGAAGAAAAGGACAAGAACAUAAGACGACGACGACGUACGGUAGAGUGGAAUAGAGUGCGUGUUUGUGUGUAUGUGAGUGAGAAAGAGGAAGAAAAGGUGCAAGGGAAGAAAGAAAAGCAGCCGGUAUAUUCUCUUCAUUUUUGCACGUCGCUACUCUCUCUCCUCUCUCUUUCUUUCUUUCUUUCUUUCUUUCUUUCUUUCUUUCUUUUUCUAUAUUUCUUUCAUUAUCUUUAUCUAUCUAUUUAUCCAUCUAUCUAUAUACCACUAUCUCUCUUUUUUUUUACUGUCUUUCGCUUUCACGCACGUGUGUUCCUUUAUAAAGUGUAGUAGUGUCGUGUGUGUGUCGUUGCCUAUACAUCGUCGACCGACAAAUCGUUGCUGCUGCUGUCGUCAUCGUCAUUGUUUUUGUUAUCCGUUGUCGUCGUCGUCGUCGUCGUUAUUGUCAUUGUCAUUGUCAUUGUCAUUGUCAUUGUUAUUAUCAUCGUAAUUUGUUCUUUUGCACGCUAAAGUACCGAGAAAAUUUGUCGGGCGUGUAAACGAAGAGAAAAAAGAGUGAAGAAAGGAGGAAGUGAAAGAGAAGGAGAAAGAGGAGUAGCAGGAGGAGGAGGAGGAGGUGAGAGAAAAGUGAAAAAAAAAAAAUAACGACAUCAAAAUGUGGAGUGCAAUGUGUGACGUGAUGCCAACGAUCGCGGAGGACAGCAUAAGUCAAAGAAGUUCGCAGUUCUCUGGCGAGGAUGCGAACUUCGAACAAUUAAUGGUUUCGAUGUUGGACGAAAGGGACAAGUUAAUGGAUUCGUUGCGGGAGUGUCAAGAACGGGUCCAAGAAGCCGAAGCCAGAGUCAGGGAACUCGAAAAGGAACGAGACUCCCUUAAUCGUCAAAUUUAUGCCAACAUUCCUCAGGAACUUUCACAAUUGACGAAGGAAUUAGCAGCAGCUCGUGAAAACAUUUUACAGAGAGAAGAAGAAAUAUCAGAAUUGAAAGCAGAACGCAACAACACACGUCUUCUACUAGAACAUCUAGAAUGUUUGGUUUCUCGACACGAACGAUCGCUGAGGAUGACGGUCGUAAAACGUCAAGCCGCUGCACAAUCGGGCGUGUCGUCAGAAGUUGAAGUACUAAAAGCUUUAAAGAGUUUGUUCGAACAUCACAAAGCUUUGGACGAGAAGGUACGCGAACGAUUGCGUGUAGCUCUUGAAAGGAAUACGACCCUCGAAGAGGAACUGGCCCAUACCAAAGAAGAGCUUCAACAGUAUAAAGUAAGUGGAAUUACGCCUAAAGCCACCGAUGACAAACCUAAAGAAAAUGGUCAAACGGAUGACGGUCAACAACAAAACAAGAAUGAGACUGAGCAGGCUGAAAGUCAGCAGGAGCCACAGCAGCAGCUUCCACAGCAGCUACAACAACAACAACAGCAACAGCAGCAGUUACAACAGCAACACGCAAUACAAAAGCUAGGUACAGAGAAGCCAACAGAGAUAGCAAGCAGAUUGAGCAAUGGCAGUCUUGACCCAUCCGACCAGGAUUCGGCAGUACGAGUAAUAGAUUUGCAAGCCACUCUUGAUAAACAGAGUACUGAAUUAAAUACAUGGCAACGACGUGUAGCGGAAUUGAGCGGACGAGUUGCAGAAUUAGAAGAAACCCUUUCUAAAACCCAAAAGGAUCUUCUUAAAACUCAAGAGAUCAAUGUUAAGUUGCAAAGAGAUCUGUGUGAAAAUGUUGCGCAGAAAGAGGACCAAGAAGAAAGGAUUGCAACUCUUGAGAAACGUUAUCUCAAUGCUCAACGGGAAUCAACUAGCUUACAGGAUCUCAAUGAGAAAUUAGAACAGGAGCUUCAACAUAAGAAGGCUCAAUUGAAGCUUCAAGAAGAAAAGAUAGCAGCUAUACAAGAAAAAUUGGAACUUGCAGAACAAAAAUUAACUCAAUAUUCUAAAUUACCUGAAAUGGAAGAACAAUUAAAGCAGAGGAUGGAGGCUCUGACCCAGGUGAGGAGGCCCAACCAGCAGGCUCAGGAGAGGCAUGGUAGCGCAGAGGAUAGAAUACAAAGGUUAGAAGCACAAUUAGAAGAGAAAAAUGCAGAAGUAAUGCGCGUCAAUCAACGACUUAAGAUGAACGAGGAACAUAACACUCGAUUGAGCGCAACUGUUGAUAAACUUUUAUCUGAAUCUAAUGAUAGGCUACAAACGCAUUUAUCAGAAAGAAUGAAGGCAAUAGACGAAAAGAAUGUGAUAAUGCAGGAACUUGAGAAAACGAGAAAAAUAGCUGAAGAUUUACAAAAUGAAAAAGCAGAUAUCGUUAAAGAGCUAGGAAAAGCACGUCUUGAAAUUGACAAUGUAAAGAGACAAAUGCUUCAGCAAGAAAUUGCUUUCAAUAUUCAACAAACGGACGCAUUGACUAGAAGUCUUUCUCCAAAUGCCGCGGAUCCUGGUUCAUUUUCUAGAAGCGCAAGUCAUAGUAGUUUUGACACGCACUCGUUACCUAGAAGAGGAGGGAAAAGAGCUGCAAUGGAAGAGGAUGCAUCGAAGAAUUACGUAGUACGUACUCUUGCGGAACAAGAAUGGGAGAAACUGCAACAAGCUCAUGUUCUAGCAAAUGUGCAACAAGCAUUUGAUGUUUCAAGCGAUGCAGAAGGUGACGGUGAUAAUGAAAGUAUCUUCAGUUGUUCGGCGGAGGUAAUUAGUCCGGCGGGACACACCGAUGCUCAAACACUUGCGCUGAUGCUGCAAGAACAAUUAGACGCCAUUAAUAAUGAGAUUAGAUUGAUUCAGGAAGAAAAGCAGAACACGGAAGCACGAGCAGAAGAAUUAGAAUCUCGAGUAGGUAGUUUUGAACAUAUGAAUUUAUUAGCAAGAGGACGCAGUCUCGAGCGAGCGUCACCUCCAUUAAGCGGUCGCUCUACACCAAAAUCACAUCAUAGCCCUAACAGAGAUUAUUUACAUAAAUAUCACACAGCACCAGCAUCAAUGUCACCUGCUCAUUUACAUCAGUAUGCUGCAUCCCUUGCUAGUCCUGGACAACUUUCAGAAUCGCUUCCUGCAAGCCAGUUGCAGUUGUCCGGAGAAGAACUGCACUCGGUGAGUGAAAGAGACAGCGUCGGUGGUGCUGGAAGUGUUAGCAGCGAUGCUGCUUCCCCGUUGACGGCCAGAUCGCUUAGAUUAGAGCGCGUUGUGCAAGCACUUGCUCAUAGCCAGGAAGAAUUAAGAAGACGUACUGGACAAACAGGAUUUCCCAGCAGCGGCUUUUCCCCGCACAGCAGGCAUGGACAACAUAGCAACGGCGCACUCAAUUCUGGGACUCCUCCUUCCCCAUUGUCCUCACGCCACAGUAGCCAGGACAGUUUACACAAGAACAAUCUAUCCAGUGUUGGACUACCUAUUGGACAAUUGUCGAGUUCCCAUCUACACAUGCAAGCAACCAUGAGUCCAGCGACAGCAGCUGCAGUGGCAGCAGCUCAGAAGAAAAAAGGCAUAAAGAGUAGUCUUGGCAGAUUUUUCAGUAAAAAAGAAAAAAUAAAGGGAAAGGAUACAACGAUGCCCGGAGAUGUACCUGGUAUGGGAGGUGCAAGUACACCUGCAGAUCCCGAUUAUGGGGAUAGCGUUGCCGUGGCAGGAACAUUAGGAAGCAAGAGUGAUUUUGAUCGAAGGAAAAAGAAAAGUCCCAGUAUGUUUGGUAGUAUGCUGGAUUCUUCGCGACAUGAGUUACUGGCCGAAGCAAUGAAAGCUGGGACACCUUUUGCUCUUUGGAACGGACCAACUGUUGUUGCUUGGUUGGAGCUUUGGGUUGGCAUGCCUACCUGGUACGUUGCGGCGUGUCGAGCUAACGUCAAAAGUGGUGCUAUAAUGAGUGCACUGAGUGACACUGAAAUACAACGCGAGAUUGGUAUUAGUAACUCUUUACACCGACUGAAAUUGAGGCUAGCCAUUCAAGAGAUGGUAUCACUUACAAGUCCAUCCGCGCCUAAAACUUCUCGUACAACUUUAGCUUUUGGAGAUAUGAAUCACGAAUGGAUUGGAAAUGUAUGGUUACAGAGUCUUGGAUUACCCCAAUAUCGAUCCACUUUCAUGGAGUGCCUUGUUGACGCUAGAAUGUUGGAUCAUCUAACUAAAAAGGAUUUGCGCGGUCAACUUAGAAUGAUUGAUAGUUUUCAUAGAACAAGUUUGCAGUACGGAAUUUCGUGUUUGAAGAGAUUAAAUUAUGAUAGACCACAAUUAGAAGAAAGGAGACGAUUGGCGGAAGGAACUAACGCAGAUGUUCUUGUGUGGAGUAACGAUCAAGUUAUACGAUGGGUGCAAUCAAUUGGUCUAAAGGAAUAUGGAAACCAUCUAUUAGAAUCUGGGGUUCACGGUGCCCUAAUUGCUUUAGAUGAAAGUUUUGAUGCAAAUAGUUUUGCUCUUACUUUGCAAAUUCCUACACAGAAUACACAGGCAAGGCAACUUUUAGAAAUGGAAUUUGAAAAUUUAUUAAGGGUAGGAACAGAGAGGCGAGUGGACGAUUCUAAUAUGAAAUCCUGAUCCAACAGAUUGCCCCAUCUUCAACCCCAUCAUGUCUAGUCGAGAACCCCAGCUAUUACUACUGUCUGUACGCAAGUGUGUUGUAAAAGUUGUAAGAGCUUUAAGUAUCAACCUAAAGAUAUCUUCGUACUGUUACGCCAUGUGGCACGCGAUACCGAAAUGUAGGAGGUGGUCAUGUGUCGCAUCUGCAUUCAAAGGAAUUGCAGUAUAUAUCUCCUCGAAGGCCAAACAAUAUGAGUUGAAUACAAUCACGACAAUAAAUCCGCCUCGUUUGACUUGUUAUGUUUUUACGGGUAACAGAUCAAUUGUAGUUUAGUAAUAUAUUGUUACAUGGCACUCCUCUAGAUAUUCAACCACAGCUAUUGCACUCUUCUUGUAUUAUAACUCGUGUACUUAUAUAAUAAUUCUGCAUAUAAAAAAGAACGGCUUAUGUGUCGUUGUAACUAGCACAAAAUGAACAAUUAAAAAGAAAGAAAAAAAUCUAAGAAAUUUUACAAUGAUGCAGUAAUAUACACUCGGGGAAUCGUUAAUAUUUUAUAUACAAAGAAACGGGGACUGCGUUCUAUGUUUCUGUGUCUGUAAGAGGACAAUGAUGAGCUAACAAAGUUUACUUUAUGUAUUUUACUUUUUUCACAAGCAGAACUUUAGAGUACUCAUUUGUUUCUGUUUUCUUAUUUUGACGAAUUUUGAAUGUGUAGAGUCACACACACACAUAUAUGUGUAUAUAUAUAUACAUAUAUACGCAUUAUAUAUACAUUACA